AUUGAACGCUGGCGGCAGGCCUAACACAUGCAAGUCGAGCGGCAGCGGAAAGUAGCUUGCUACUUUGCCGGCGAGCGGCGGACGGGUGCGUAAUGUCUGGGAAACUGCCUGAUGGAGGGGGAUAACUACUGGAAACGGUAGCUAACACCGCAUAACGUCGCAAGACCAAAGAGGGGGACCUUCGGGCCUCUUGCCAUCAGAUGUGCCCAGAUGGGAUUAGCUAGUAGGUGGGGUAACGGCUCGCCUAGGCGACGAUCCCUAGCUGGUCUGAGAGGAUGACCAGCCACACUGGAACUGAGACACGGUCCAGACUCCUACGGGAGGCAGCAGUGGGGAAUAUUGCACAAUGGGCGCAAGCCUGAUGCAGCCAUGCCGCGUGUAUGAAGAAGGCCUUCGGGUUGUAAAGUACUUUCAGCGGGGAGGAGGGUGUUGAGGUUAAUAACCUCAGCAAUUGACGUUACCCGCAGAAGAAGCACCGGCUAACUCCGUGCCAGCAGCCGCGGUAACAC
rnacentral:rRNA from 1 species